UAUGGAAAUUACCCCAAUCAAACAGUUUCCUAAAGUGUAACGGCCAGGAGUUCGAAUAUCUAAAAGCUUAAAAAGUUUUUUUAUAGCUGAUUUAAAAAAAAAAAUUAGCUAUAUUAAAAUCUGGCAUCGCUGAAAAAACAAAUGAAUUAUCUUAAGCUUGCUCUCUUAAGGCAGCUGCAUUGAUAAGCGCAGCCAACUUUGGUCCAGACAAAGCUUUUCGAGCUUAUCUAUAUAAACCACCCACGCGGCUAUAUUCGAUCUUUUCCGACCAAUAUAAUAAAACUUCGCAGACAUCGAUCUUGUGUUUUGUGCAGUGAAAAAUAAAAAUUCAGGUUAAAUCCGUUUGCGCACAUUUUUUUUAUACACAAUUAUUAUUGCACCCAAGCGCGUAAAUAAAUUGCGCCCAAGCGCUUUAUUUAAUAAAUUGUGCCAACGGUUGAAAAAGUGCUUUCAGUUUUCGGGAGAAAAAUUUUCUUCUUGGCUUCAAUUUCGAGUUGGCCAAUGAAAACUUCCUGGACCGCUCGCCAGGAAAACUGCAAAUAAUCUUUGCAGCCUUUUCUGAAAGUGUUGCCUUUGGAAGCUGAAAAACCCUCCCGACUACGGGAAAUAGAGAGAACUACAUUGAAAAAAUCUAAAGUGAGGAAAACCGUCCAAUUGGAUCCCGGUUUGAGGAAAAGUCAACCCGAAAUCCGCACCUGGCCAGCCCCUAAAUCCGCACCUGUACCCAGCAGCGAAAAGCACAGGGCAGCGGUAGCGCUUGGUCCAGCGACGUCGGCAGAGGCAGAGCAGAGGAAUGAUAAGGCGGAGGCAGCGAUCGCACCACGCGUUUUAGGAAAAGGGUUUUGUUGUAAAAAAGUGGUUGUUGUUUUUCUAAGCUUGUUUUGCAUUUGAUUUUCUUUUGUUCUCUUUUGCUCGGCAAAUGCAUAAAAAGUAAAGAGUGUUGCGACGUAGAAAUGACCUACAAUUAAAUUAAAUUAAAAUGCCAAAUUAAAGUCGAUAGAAAUUUUUUUUUCAUUCUUACGCUAACUUAAAGUUUCAGUAAUUAAAAAAAAUAUAUAUAUUACAUAUGAGAAGUUAAAUUCAAUUUUUUAAAGCUUUUGCCCCCCUUAAGCCUUAUGAUCAUCAUGUAACCCCGCUGGAAGGCCUUUCAACGAUGGAAAAGUAAACGUGAAUCGGACGGGAAAGGAAUUUUGGAACUGAAAUAAAGUUCCGAUUUGCUGGACGUGUGGCUGGGUAGAGGACACAGUAUUGAGCCCCGUUUUGAUUGGCUCCGCAAUAAAGUAAACAAAACUUGUUUAUCUACUGCUACUGUUCACAAGCUUUUACACAGUUCACGGCGCGGAUAUUUUUGUAUCUUCAUUACUACCUGUCGGUUGCUUGCGAGAAAAUGCUUCUGAGCCGCGUAAUCUAUAUAGUGACAUAUCCACAGUUCCACGGACUCUGUCUACGCCUACUUUCUUUACACACAACACAAACACACAUUAUUGUAAUACCCUGUAACACAACCACACUUGCCCAAUACACCCUUUGCUACCCUAGUUAUAUCCAGUACACACCAGAUAGCAACCGGAUGUUUAUAAGAAUCCCAAAGCCAAAGCUAGUGGAAUAAACCCAGGCUCCAC